UGAAGAAUUAAUUCAUUAAGCAUUAGGCAUUUAUUGUAUCUUCAAAUUGUUUCUAAAUAUAUGAUACAUUAUUAUGCAUUUUAAAGAAAAUGUUUCGUAAAAUAUAAACUUAUAUCAAACAAAAAGAUUAAAAUGAACUUUUAUUAUAUUAAUAAUUUGGUUAUAUGAACCAACUCCCGACAGGUUCAUAAUCAUAAUUUACGAGACGUAUCUAUGAAACUCGAUCAUACAACGAGAAUACCACGAAAAGACGUUUAGUUUAAUGCGUUAAUUAGUAGUUUAAUGCGCAAUUGUGUCGUAACAGAUACCUAUUUCAAAUAGUCUCUUUAUCUCACGCAUGAUUGCUCGCCAUGCAAUGACAGCAUCAAUGACAACGAGUCAUCAUGGUGUUAUAUAGUGGCAAUAAAGCAGCUCAUUAUUAUUAUUUCCAUCGUAAGGAUCAAAGGCGUCUGAACGAUGUGCUUCAUAGCACGAUAAUUGGUUAGCGUGAGCAUCGAUAUCGGCAAUGACAUGCACGUGCUUGAUUACGCGAAAGGAUAACGUCCAAUUAAACGGCUCUCAGAAAUCCAACACCAAUUUACUAACGAAAAUAUUCAUUUGUCUGAUCGCCGACGUUGCAUCUCUGAGUCUUGAUCCUUGCUCUUGUCGAGAGAGCAAUUGGAAAGUUAUUAUUAACUGAAAUUGUUAUUCAUUAAUGUUAAUAUUUAUUGCUAUCAUUUUCUUAUUUAAAUAUAAUAAAAUCGAUAAAAUUUAUUUUAAAUAAUAGUUUAAUAAUAAUUUAAAAAUAAUAUUUUCCAUAAUAUUAUAAUUUAAUAAUAUCUCAUAUAUUUCAAUUGUUUAUUUGGUUUUUAUGGUAUUAAUAAAUUGAAGAAUUGAUUAUUUAAAAAAAUUUAUUUUAUAAUUGCAAAUUUGUUUUUUAAAUAAAAUUACAUAAAACAUAUAUACAUUAAAACAUAUAUAUUAAAUAUAUAAUGAUUAAUAAUAAUAUGUAGUAAUAAUAAUAUGUAUAAUAAUAGUAUUAAUAGAUAUUAAUAAUGAUAUUAAUAAUAAAUAUAAAAUAGUAUUAGUAACAAAUAUUAAUAAUAUAUCCGAAUAUUUGACGAUGCAUUUAAAAAAACAUUUAUUUUCAUAAAUUAAAUAUAAAUAUAAAUAAUAAUAUUUUUAUUAUUAUAAAGCAAAUAAUAAAUAAUUUUGAAAAGUAAUUCUAAAGUAAUGCAAUUUAAUAAUUUUUUAAAAGACUCAAAAUUUUUCGAAAGAUUUAUUCUCAUUUUUAAUUAAUUCUGUAGUAAUUCUAUAGUAAAUAAAUUUGAAUACAAUUUAUAAGAUAAAAAGAACUAAAAUAAUAAAUAAUAUCUUAAAAUUAAUUAAAUUAUUAUAAUAUUUUAUUUUAAAAAAUUGAAUAAUAUUUUAUUUUUAAAUAUUUUUAUUUGACGUAUGUAAUGUAAAAAAAAUUAAUUUAUGAUUACGAAAUUAUCACGAAUGAUUAUGAAAUUAUCAUAUUUUAUACAUUAUUUUUAAAUAAUUUUUUAUUAAUUUAUUCAAAUAAAAUAAUAAAUAAUUCGAUUAAAAAUUUUAAUAAAAUCAUAUCUGAAUAAUUUUUAUUUUGAUCACAAUAAAUUAUCAAAGAAAAUUAUCUUAAAAUUAUUAUAAAUUAUAAAUUAUCUUAGAAUUUAUUAAUUUAUUUUUAUAAUGUGAUUAUAUUUUUCAAAAUUGUUCUCGUUUUAAACUAUUUAUCAAAAAAAUUUCUAUAUUAUGAUAAAUCUACUAUAAAAGUAGUAAAAGUAAUAAAGAUAAUUACAUCAUUAUAAUUAAAAUAUAAUAAAUAUAUGUUGAUUUUGUGACAAAUUUGUAUUUCUAUUACAAUAUUACCUAUCUACAGUGUUGAUACAAGAGAAAGUUAUUUGAAAAAUUUGAAAAAUUAUCUGUAAAUUAAAAUAGAAAAUAAAUAAAAUAAGAAAUGAUUUUAUGAGACGCAAAUAAAGAAAUAAUUAAAAAAAAAAGUAUACUACUCAAGCAAACGCGUGAUUUGAAAUAAUAUAUAAAUAAAACAAUACGAUAAUAAUAUUUUAUUUUAAUAAUUAUUAUUUUUCGAAAUAAUUAAUUAUUUUAUUUUAUAAAUUAUUAUAGUAUCGAAUAAUAAAAUAUUAAUAUAAAUAAUAUUAUUAUAAAUAAUGAAUUAAAAUUUUUUAAUUAAAACAUAAAUAUAAAUUUGCGAAUAAUAAAAUGAUAUCUUGUUUUUUAUAUUUAAAAAUUAUAUUUUUUCACAAUUUUUGGCUUCGUCUGUCGUAUUAAAUUAACAUAAACAAUAUUAAUAAUUAUCAAGGAGUUUAAAAAAAAAUUAUAUUUAUGCUACAAAGAUAAAUACAUCAAAGAAUGCGAAAAGAAAGAAGACUCUAAGAAAAAAAAUUAAUUAAAAAAUUUCUAAAAGAAUGAAAAUUACAAAAAAAAAGUUUAUUUUAUUAUUUCAAGCAAUUUCCAGAAAAUUUCCACAUUCUUUGGUUAGAAGAAAAAAAAAGAAAAAAAUCGAAAUCACAAAAGAAAUUCACAUGUUUUACAAUUUUAAUCAAUUCCUAUCCAGAAAAUUCCUAUAUUCCUUCAUCGGACAAUUCACCACAUUCUCUUGAAGCGACAAAUACGAAUUUCGUCAAGAAUGUCACUGAACAUUUAAACAAGACAAAGAUGUGUCCAAAUUGUACAAUAAACAUUUUUAACUAGCAUUAUGAUGAUAUGAGCACAUGCAAAGGAACACCCUGUAUAAAACGAGGCGCAGAGGCAUGCCAGGCAAUGCGAUGAGAAGAAGAAGGAGGGAAGAAGGUGGAGAGUUAAUUGAAUCCGAGCAGCGUAUAAGUGGAAUGGCCUAUUCCUCCUCUGGUUCGCUCCUCUUAUUCUUCUUUCUUCCCGCGUGCCUCUUCUCCUCCCAUGCCCUUCUUCUUUCUUCUACCGUGUCUCCUUUGCCUUGUCUCGCGCCGUCCUUCGUAGCUCCUUGUACCCCCUUCGGGGUAUCGAGGUGGAUCGGUAGGUGGAAAGACGCCGGAGGAUGGAGGGAGGAAGCAUUCCUUUGUCUCUGCGCGCACGGACCUAGAUCAUAUAGUAUAUAAUGUAUAUAAUGUGCAUAAGAAUGUACUACUAUGUAAGGACUUGACUGCAUUACACGUGCUUCUGCAAGUGUUGGUUGAGACUGAGAUCAUGUAACUCGUUUAAGUAAAUUUAUGAGAAAUUUUUAGUAUAAGUUAGAUUUAAACUAUUUUUAAACUUUGUAUUGCAGAAAAUUUAGUUUGUUGAAUGAAUCUUUAUCUAAUUUUUAGUACAGAAUUAGAUUUAAACUAUCUUAAUUGAAAUUUAAUUUAUAAAUUUAAUUUAAUUUAUAGAAAAAAGAUAUAACUUUUAAAAUAAAUUAGAUUUAAAUUAUCUUAAUUAAGUUUAUUGUAAAUUUAAUUCGUAAAGCUUAGUUAGUUCUAAAAACUUGAUUUAUUUUUUAGUAUGAAUUUAAUUAAAUUCAUACUAAAAAUAAAUAUUAAUAUAAUAUAAUUAAUAUUAUUAUAAUUUUUAAAUAAAUUAUUUAUUAAUUACUUACUUGAUUACUUUAAAGUUAAAAUUUAUAUUAUGGUUAGAGACAAUUUAAAACUUAAUUUAAUUUUUAUUAUAAGAUUUAAAAAAUUUUUAUUAAGUUUUAUAUUGUGGAAGAUUUAUAGGAUAAAACUUUUUAAUUAGACAUUAAAUAAUGAUUAUGAACUAAAAAGUUAAAUUUUUUUUUUUUUUUUGAGUAUGUAGAGUCUAGAAGUAAUAAAGAUAAUAAAAGGAUAGUUAAAAGUAAUAAGGAUAAUAAAAUUUCUUUUGCAUGAAAUGCAUAAAUAAAACUUAUAUAAUUAAAGAUAAAUGUUUUUAAAAAGAAAUUAUGUAUCAAAUUGAAAAAAAAAUUCACAUAAAGAUAUAUCUAUUAGAAUUCAUCUCAAUAGAGAUUUAAUUUAAUUUACUAUUAGUAGAUUUCAAUCACUCUCAAUAUAAAUUUCUAUCAUAUAUUAUCUAUAUUAAAUCAUAUCACGAUAUUCUUAAUAUAACUUUUUGUUUGCAUUAAUUUAUUUAUCCUUUUGCAAAAUAUUCCAUAUAUUUAUACAUAAAAGAAUUUUCUCUCUUAUUUUUUUGCAGAUAUCUUAACUUAAUUUUUAUAUGGAUUAGAUUUUCUUUUUUAUUGAAAAAUCAUAUUAAAGCAAUAUGUAAGUUACGUUCAUCAAGUAUGCACGAGCACCAUACUGCGACAUAAUAAAAAUGUAUCUAUGGAUGUGACUUUAAAAUAAUAUUCUCACUAGCAUUCUCUCAAGAAGAAUCUAAAGGAAGUUCUAUUCACUUGAUAUAUGAUAAACUACGUUGCGAAUUAGAUUCGAAUUUUUAAUCAUAUGUCUAACAAGUCUAGAUUCUAAGUUUUAAAUUCUGAGAAAAUUAUAUUGACAAUUAAUAAUAUAGUUGUAAAGUUAUCAAAAUAUGUCAAGUCUUUUAAUCUUAAAAGAUCCAAUUAAUAGGAUUAAUAUUAAAAUUUCAAAAUUUAUUAUAGACUAACUAUAAAGAUUUAAUUCCUUUUUUAUGCUAUUCGUUAGCAAUAAUGACAGUUUCUUCAUAUCAUAUUUUCUCAUAUUUUACAAAUAAUAAUAUUUGAGUUUUACAAGUUUAAUAUAUGAAUUUAUGAAUACUCAUAAAUUUAUUUAAAAAUUCUUGAUAUAAGGAAAAUCUCUAAAGAAUAAAAUCUCUAAAGAAUAGGAAUUCGGAAUUAAUAUAUAUUAUUAGUCAUACAAAAAUAUAUGUAAUAUUGAAUAUAACAUCAAACUGCUAUAACGUCAAAAUUAACGAAUAUAUAAGAAUCAUAAAAAUUCGAAGAUCAUACACACUAUGUUUACAAGUAUUAUAAUAAAAAUUAUAUUGAUUCAAAAUAGAUUAAUAAUAAGUAUAUCGAUACCGAUUCUUUUCAAGAUAUAUUUAAAAAGAUUGGAAACAAUUGAAUAAAUAUUAUUUUGUAAUUUCUUUUAAUAAUCAUAGAUAUGUCCAUAAUUUUAUGAUUUUUUGUUGUAAGAAGUAAGUAAGAAUCGAUACUGCUUGAGAAGCAUCAUAGCUUUGCUAUCUUCGCUUCAACUUCUCCAUCGUCAAAAAUCUACCCGGUUUUGAGAAUGUCGAGAAUGAUUUUUGUCGAUGACAGUGGUGCUGGCUUCUCGCCGCGGGUGCCCACGGUUCAAGUAUCCCUCGUUCACGCACUCCGCGUAUUUGCGUACCCCGAAAUAGCCGUACCUUCCCUGCUCCACGAGACGGCCCGGUGGACGAGGAUGAGGACUUGGAAGAGGUGGACCAGUAGGGAGUUGGGGCGAGGGAGUGGGAACGGAGCGUGUAUACCGCAAAACCAGUUCGCUGAAAUGAAAUUUUAUAGUCCGGCGUCACGGAGCGGGAGGGGCACCUGCGUCACCGAACAUACAUGGGAGCUGGUAUACAUCGGGCGCCCGAUCCCUUGACUACGCUCCUGCCAGGACAAAUGCCUUGACUGCGUGGAUCAUUCCGUGAGUCUCUUUGAAUAUCGCAAUAGGAUAUCAUCAUUCACGCGAUUCUAUCAUAAUAUUUUUUUGAAAAUACAAUUAUCCAACUAUCUUUUAUCAUAGAUUCAACCUUUUUAAUAUGAUAAGUCGAGACAGUGUGUUUUGAUAUAAAAUAAAACAGUGAGCAAAAGUUGUAAAUAUUAGAUAUUUCGGAAAUUCGAAGAUCCGCAAAAGUACCGAAGCAUGAAGAUCCUUAAAUUAUGAAAGAAGUGUUACUGAGAAAUCUGACGAUUAUUUUCUCCGAAAUCGUUCUCGGUUUCCAGCACGGUCUCGAGCGAGAAGACCCAGCGGGUGGCUCGCGUCACGAGAAUGCAGCUCAUAGCGGCGAAGCUCAUUACGUUGGCGUGUGCGUAAGAACUUUGUACACGCGAUGUAAUCGCGCUGAUGAAACUGACGCGUCGAACGACGCGCUAUACGGCUCGUCAAAUUAGUGAAAAACUCGUUUGUCUCUGUAUUGUUAGACAAAGAAAAAAAAAACAAAACAAAAAAGAAAAAGAAAGAAUAUAAAAUAAAUAAAUGAAAUUCAUUAACAGCAACAAAAAAUCUCAAACAUAUUCGCAGAAGCAUUCUUCGGAAUAAAAGAAUAUGAGGAUAAAAAAAUAGUAGAAUAUUUCGAUUAUUUAUCUUGAAGCAAGAAAAGUGUUGGUUUAAAUCGCGUAGGAAGAUCGGUCUGAGAUUACGUCGCAUACGGCAGCCGCUCAAGUGUCGCAGUUGCACGUCGUUAAUGCGAGGCAGGUGCUAACGCGGAGAGAAAGAAACGAUAGAGAGAAGGUGAAGGAGAAAGAUGCGCUCGGAUCCCGUCCUCCCCCUAAUUGACAAAUUGGAAUCUUAUUAGAAGCUCGUGAUGCCGGAGGUACCCGAGGCAGGAGAAGCCUCGAGGGAUCCUUUAAUGAUCCUGCUCUCUCUGCGCGCUGUUUCACUUUUUCGUUCUCCUCGGAUUAUUAAUCCAACGACGAUCCAAGAAGAUCCGUGGCGUUUGCAGAGAUUAUAGGUUAAGAGUACGGGCAAAGUGCUGCUACAUUAACAAGCAUCAAUAGGUCGACAGGACGAAGAAGUAAUGGAAUCAUAAAAUGUGAUUUCGAGAUCACGCUUCGUUCUCCUUUAUCUAUCUGAUUGAUAAAGUAAUGAAACGGAUGAGUAUAUGCAAGUGAUUUUAAAAAAAUUCACCCGUAGGCGAUCUGUCAAAUUGAUUUUAACUUUGGCUUCUUUGGAUUUUUCGCAAUUAUUUAUAUACUGUUAUUUUAAUAUUAUUUGAAAUUUAAUUUUUUUUAGUUAUUGAUUUGUUUAAAUUAUUGCAAAUUACUAAAAAGAAAUUCAAAAUAGAGAUAAUAUUCUUUUAAAUAAAAAUAUUUUCUAUCUUUUAAAAUUAUAAUUCAUAAUUAGUAAAUUAUUGCAAAAUAGAUAUUGACAAAUUUUGAUAAAAUUUUGCUAUAAAAAUUAAAAUAUUAAAAUUAAAUUAUAUGUAUGUGCUUUAUAUAUAUCUUAUUGUAAUAUUAUAUUUUUUUGCCUUUUUUUAUUAUUAUAAAUAAAUAAGAAAAAGUAUAAUGUUA